rnacentral:lncRNA from 1 species
GGUAUAACAGUUUAGAAUUAUAUAAAAUUUUAAUUAAUUAUUAGAAUAAAUAGUAUUUUAUUCGAAUUAAUUAAUUAAUUAGUAAAAAUGAUAGAACUGGGCCAUUUGUGAGAAUUGGAGAAAAUAAGUGGUAAUAAUAGAGAGGUUAGUAAUGAGUUUGACAAAAUUCAUAAUUAAACAAAGUGGUGGGGGUGUAUAUAUUCUAAAAAUAGGGGGAAACUAGGUUUUUAGAGAAACAUCAAAU